rnacentral:rRNA from 1 species
UAGGGAAUUUUCGUCAAUGGGCGCAAGCCUGAACGAGCAAUGCCGCGUGAACGAGGAAGGUCUUGGGAUCGUAAAGUUCUGUUGAAGGGGAAAAAGAGCGGAGAGAGGAAAUGGUCUCCGAUUGAUAUUACCCUUCGAGGAAGUCACGGCUAACUACGUGCC